AGCGAACGCUGGCGGCAGGCCUAACACAUGCAAGUCGAACGAACCUUUCGGGGUUAGUGGCGGACGGGUGAGUAACACGUGGGAACGUGCCUUUAGGUUCGGAAUAACUCAGGGAAACUUGUGCUAAUACCGAAUGUGCCCUUCGGGGGAAAGAUUUAUCGCCUUUAGAGCGGCCCGCGUCUGAUUAGCUAGUUGGUUGAGGUAAUGGCUCACCAAGGCGACGAUCAGUAGCUGGUCUGAGAGGAUGAUCAGCCACAUUGGGACUGAGACACGGCCCAAACUCGGACGGGAGGAAGCGGGGGGGAUUCUGGGGCGAGGGGGGAAAGACGGAGGCAGCAAUGGGGAGGGAGGGAUGAAGGUAGUAUGGUUGAAAAUGUCUUCCAGCGGGGAGGAUAAAGAAGGUACCGGGAGAAGAGGCACCGGCUAACUGCGGGCCAGCAGCGGCGUUAAUAGUCGGACGACCACCGUCUGCAC
rnacentral:rRNA from 1 species